rnacentral:misc_RNA from 1 species
CUGAGUACUACACUCUCUACCCUUUGUGAACUAUUAUACCUGUUGCUUCGGCGGCGCCCGCAAGGGUGCCCGCCGGUCUCAUCAGAAUCUCUGUUUUCGAACCCGACCGAUACUUCUGAGUGUUCUUAGCGAACUGUCA